GACCCCUGGAUCCUGCCUUAUCCUCACUCAUGAGUUUAGCUGCUGGCUUACUGUCUCCAGCACUACUACUUUCUUGAAUUUCCACGUAGCAGAUCCUUCCAUUACCUGGCCUCUCAGUUCCUUGACGUCCCUCUUCUCCGGUGACUGACCUCAUCGUCACCACCUGCCUGUAAUCCUCGUCAAACACCACCAUCUAACCAGCACCGCCAGUCUCUCUGACUCACCUGUUCUAAACCUCAACCCCAACAACGUUAACCCCCAUUCCUACAACCCACGGACUCCACCACCUGUCUCUCCACCCUUAAACCCUUCAUGUCUCUCAUUCAUGCUUACUAAAUCAUCCAACUUGAAUUUGUUGACACCUAGUAAUAAUCACUCCUUGCACACAUACUCAUCUUGGCAAAUCCCAUCCCUGGUUAGACGCAGCUCCCCUCUAUUCUGCAUCUGCACCCUCACAGCUGAACAUGGCAGAGCUCAGUAGUAACCACUGGAUAAAGGAAUGACCAUGCAAUACAUUCUAACAUAUUCUAGGAACAGUACUGGAUAAUUACCUUACUUGAUAAUAAUGCAAAUGUAUGAUCUCAGGGGAGCUAAGAGAAAAGAAAAAUCCUUGUGCUCACUUCUACUAGGAAUUUCAGAAUAGGCCAUUUUACUCAAGAUUUAUUAGACUUUUUUUUAAAUUCAGUGGUGGCAUCUGCCUGUCAGCCACUCCCUUGUAACUCUUUUAAAAACUUUAUAUAAUCUUUUUAAAAAUUUAGUUUGACAGAUUCCCCCCUCCACCUCCCCAAACCGGGAAACAGUUAUAUUAUCUAUAAAAGCAAAAUACUGCCUUUUGGUCAAGCCUAUUUGUUGCUAGGGUAAUAAUCUGUAUUAACUGAAAGUUCUCAUGGCAAGAGCAUUUCCAAAGCUCUCCUCAGACUGCCUACAGGCCAGCACAACUGCAUUCAGAAUAUAUAAAAUAUAUCUCAUAUCAAAAUAAGGCUCAAAGUCCAUGAGAUUUUUAUAAAAGGAGGAAGCAGGGUAAUACCCUUUACAAACAAGUAAUGUUAUAUUUUUAAAAGACCAUGUUUACCAGAAGCUAAGCAGAGUUUGACAGAGCAAGUACUGGGCUGCACCUCGCAGGCCUGCAAGCCUCGUAGCGGCCCGGCCUCGAGCCCCAAGAGAGAGCCCAGAGACGUCAGUGGUUUAUUGGCAAGGGGGUCUCAAGCAUUCAGAAGGGUCCGGGAGCAACACUCCAGCCUGGACUGCAGACGGCAGGCAGGACACGACAGCAGUCUUUGGUGCUAAGGCGAGAAGAAGGGGCUAUUCAUAGGGGGAAAUGACAUCAGGCAGGCUCGUGUCUUAUCUGGGAAACCAGCAGCUGGGGCACAUCCCUCACAGCCCCUCAGGUUAACAACCAUCAUGAGGGCAGAUGUUUCCCUUUAAUAAACGAGCAGGUGGAGCCGUUCUGGCCUAAGACAAGAUCAGUUACCAGCUGGGGCAGGAGGUGAGCACACUCAUGUGAGUAAGACGAAGUGAAGCAGGGACUGGUCCAGCAGGGGCCGUGUAGAGAGCAAGAGGACAGCCAUCCUGCGUGGCCAGACCAUACAGAGGUGAAGAUUUUAACAGUGUCUAGAUAUCUCAGACAGAGAUGUAAUAGCCCAGGACUCAGGAUAAAACCAAAAAAAAAAAAAAAAGCAAAACCUCAGCAUCAAGAACAGGAGGGAAAACCAGAUGAAUGAGGACCUCUUUGUUACUGUCCUCCGUCUGCACCUCCGAGUUACUCUUGAUCCAACUCACCAGUUUUACUUAAAGUUAAACUUUAAGUUAAAGUUACCUAUUUCCAGUUAAAAAUAAUUCUGCUUCAGCCAGAGAAAUCCAGGCUCCCAAAUGUUGUGCACAUGAGGUAGUUAGGCAGUGCUCUCAGCAGUGACACUGCAUACGUAUUCUCUGUAUUCCCAAAGAAAUAAAAGGCAAAGAAAUCUACACGCUAUAGAGCCAUCACUCAAGAUGACUCAUAUUCAAAAAGUCUUCACCAUUAAGUGGUUUUCACUUCUAUUACCCCAAUGGAAUUCAAGACCAAGGGUUCACAGGAAACUAAAGUAAAUGAAUAUGAAUAAACAAGGCAUGACAACUACAACGCCAUUAAGAACGAGGGUGACCGUUUGACCCAGUUCCUGCCUGUUGUCCUCUCACACGUCCAGCUGGGAUGAAGAAGAGCAGCCACCUACCUGAUUUAUAGCUACGUAAGUUCACUCAAGGUACCAGUUUCCACACAUCUGCACAUCUGGGUCACUGGAUCUGCCUGAACACUGAAUGUUCCCACUGUUCUGACUUCUGUAUCCAAAAUACGACGCAGGAAACAAGUUUGCUGUGUUUUUUUUUUUUAACUGACUCAGUAGUGUCACCCAACAUCAUGAUUUUAUGCAGACCUGUGAACUGCUUCAUUAUGUAAUAAGUAAUGUCUACAACUUCUCUACUCCUUUAAUGAAUUUAAUAGAAAAAAACUUGAUUUCA